ensembl:misc_RNA Y_RNA Y RNA
GGUGGUCCGAGCGCAAUGGUGUUUACAACUAAUUGGUCACAAUCAGUUACAGGUUUCUUUAUUCCUUCUCCUUUCCCACUGCUUCACUUGACUAGCCUUUA